CAACACCUGUUGGGGUGCCCCUUUGGGGCUGAGAUGCGCUGCGCGUGAACCCAUUGAACCUGAACCGGUUAGGACCGGCGGAGGAAACAGUUCAUGAAGACGC
rnacentral:ncRNA from 2 species